GUUGUGGCUCAGUGGUAGAGCACUUGCCUGGCAUGUGUGAGGCCCUGGGUUCAAUCCUCAGCCCCACA
rnacentral:tRNA from 1 species